ACGAACGCUGGCGGCGUGCCUAAUACAUGCAAGUAGAACGCUGAAGGAGGAGCUUGCUCUUCUGGAUGAGUUGCGAACGGGUGAGUAACGCGUAGGUAACCUGCCUGGUAGCGGGGGAUAACUAUUGGAAACGAUAGCUAAUGCCGCAUAACAGUAGAUGUUGCAUGACAUUUACUUAAAAGGUGCAAUUGCAUCACUACCAGAUGGACCUGCGUUGUAUUAGCUAGUUGGUGGGGUAACGGCUCACCAAGGCGACGAUACAUAGCCGACCUGAGAGGGUGAUCGGCCACACUGGGACUGAGACACGGCCCAGACUCCUACGGGAGGCAGCAGUAGGGAAUCUUCGGCAAUGGACGGAAGUCUGACCGAGCAACGCCGCGUGAGUGAAGAAGGUUCUCGGAUCGUAAAGCUCUGUUGUAAGAGAAGAACGAGUGUGAGAGUGGAAAGUUCACACUGUGACGGUAUCUUACCAGAAAGGGACGGCUAACUACGUG
rnacentral:rRNA from 1 species